rnacentral:rRNA from 1 species
AUGAACGCUGACAGAAUGCUUAACACCUGCAAGUCUUUGGCGAAGCUGUGCUUGCACCGCCUAGCCAAGGCGGACGGGUGAGUAACGCGUAAGGAACUUGCCCUGCAGUCAGGGAUAACAGACGGAAACGACUGAUAAGACCUGGUAAAGUCAGGCGGACUCAUGUCCAGCCUGAUGAAAAGAGAUGCUGCAGGAGAGCCUUGCGUCCUAUUAGCUUGUUGGUGGGGUAACGGCCCACCAAGGCGAUGAUAGGUAGCCGGCCUGAGAGGGUGGACGGCCACAAGGGGACUGAGAUACGGCCCUUACUCCUACGGGAGGCAGCAGUGGGGAAUAUUGGACAAUGGGGGCAACCCUGAUCCAGCAAUUCGGUGUGCACGAUGAAGGUUUUCGGAUUGUAAAGUGCUUUCAGCAGGGAAGAAAAAAUGACGGUACCUGCAGAAGAAGCGACGGCUAAAUACGUG